rnacentral:rRNA from 1 species
UACGUAGGGUGCAAGCGUUAUCCGGAAUUAUUGGGCGUAAAGAGCUCGUAGGCGGUUUGUCGCGUCUGCUGGGAAAACCGGAGGCUCAACCUCCGGCCUGCAGUGGGUACGGGCAAACUAGAGUGCGGUAGGGGAGAUUGGAAUUCCUGGUGUAGCGGUGGAAUGCGCAGAUAUCAGGAGGAACACCGAUGGCGAAGGCAGAUCUCUGGGCCGUAACUGACGCUCAUGCACGAAAGCGUGGGGAGCAAACAGG